rnacentral:misc_RNA from 1 species
UUCAGUAUCUCCUUCAAGAAUUGCUGCAAAUAAAGAACAUACCCAAAGUUUGCAACAUAAAUAUCCCGAACAACAAUAUUAUACUAAACACAGCCAAUGUAACCAUCUUUUUCCCGUUUUCAGAUAUCCAAUGAUCAUUGUUAACAUUGGACAAUCAUAAGGCUAAUGUCGUCCCUCCUAGAGGGGCACAAGGAGCAGUGUUAUCAAAGGCGAGCGA